UACGGGGGGGGCAAGCGUUGUUCGGAAUUACUGGGCGUAAAGGGCUCGUAGGCGGCCAACUAAGUCCGACGUGAAAUCCCCAGGCUUAACCUGGGGAACUGCGUCGGAUACUGGAUGGCUUGAAUUCGGGAGAGGGAUGCAGAAUUCCAGGUGUAGCGGUGAAAUGCGUAGAUAUCUGGAGGAAUACCGGUGGCGAAGGCGGCAUCCUGGACCCGACAUUGACGCUGAUGAGCGAAAAGCUAGGGGAGCAAAC
rnacentral:rRNA from 1 species